ensembl:snoRNA
AUCCUCUUGUAGUUCGUAAGUUUGAUAAUUGGGUAUUCACAUACAUGUGUGAGAUGUGCCACCCUGGAAACUUGUUACAACAUUGGCACAUUAUCCAUUUAACA